rnacentral:lncRNA from 1 species
CGCUGGCCGGGUGAUUGGCAAAGGGGGCAAGACCGUGAAUGAACUGCAGAAUUUAAUCAGUGCAGAAGUCAUCGUGCCUCGUGACCAAACGCCAGAUGAAAAUGAGGAAAUGAUCGUCAGAAUUAUCGGGCACUUCUUUGCUAGCCAGACUGCACAGCGCAAGAUCAGGGAAAUUGUACAACAGGCAAAGCAGUGCUCUGAGUAUCACAUCACACAAAAGGAACAAAAGCGAAACACACAAACCAGCCUCAACUUACACUUGGUUACUCAAAAGAACAAGAGUCAA